UCCAUACCACAUAAAUAUUUCAAAAAUUAUAUCAUAAAAUGGUCCGAGACUCACAUUUAUGGUCAUACAGCCAAUCUUGCUUGGUCAAUAGAGUGAAGCUCCACUCUUGAGGAGGGAUCCUAUUCAGGAAGUCACCCAUCUCCCUCACACGCUCCUCGGGGAUGUCACCGAAGUCAGCAGAGAUACGCUCCGAAAUGGUCCAAUCAGGAAGGGAGGAGAUCCCAGGACCAGUGACGAAGAACCAUUUCUCGUGCCAUCCUUUGUUGCUCGAGGGGGUGCUCAUCAGGGGCCUCUUCUCGAAUUUCGAGUUUGGGCGCGGGGACUGUUUGCUCAGCAUUUUGAACCCUCGUUCUCGGGAUCUGCCAGCCGAGAAGAGGGUGAAGAAGAGAUCAACAGAGGGGGUAACCCCUAAUUC
rnacentral:lncRNA from 1 species